rnacentral:rRNA from 1 species
UACGUAGGGUGCAAGCGUUGUCCGGAAUUAUUGGGCGUAAAGAGCUCGUAGGCGGUCUGUCACGUCGGAUGUGAAAAUCCAGGGCUUAACCCUGGACCUGCAUUCGAUACGGGCAGACUAGAGUUCGGUAGGGGAGACGUGGAAUUCUGGUGUAGCGGUGAAAUGCGCGAUAUCAGGAGGAACACCAAUGCGAAGGCAGCUCGCUGGGACGUUACUGACGCUGAGACGCGAAGCGUGGGGAGCAACAGG